GCAGGAGUCCCCGCCGGAUUCGCCGGCGCCGCCCGAGGAGGACCCUGCCACAGCGGCCCCCAACACAACCGCCGAGGACUAUGACGGCAGCGCGGGCGCCGGUAGUUCGCGCGCCCCGCCGCCGCGGCCGCGGCCUUCGGCGCUAGCCGCGCCCUCGACCUCCGUAGCCCCGGCGGCGGCGAAGGCCAAGGUCCGGCCCCAUAAGGAGCAGGAUGACGACGACGACGAGGAAGACCCCAUGGAGGUCGACCUCGACAAGCUGCCUUCCGGCACCAGCGAUCCCGACAAGCUCGCCAAGAUGAAUGCUUUGUUAUCCCAAUUUACAGAAGAUCAGAUGAACCGGUAUGAGUCAUUCCGGAGAUCUGGAUUUCAGAAAUCUAACAUGAAAAAGCUAUUGGCGAGUAUCACUGGCAGUCACUGA
rnacentral:rRNA from 1 species